UGGGGAAUAUUGGACAAUGGGCGAAAGCCUGAUCCAGCCAUGCCGCGUGUGUGAAGAAGGUCUUCGGAUUGUAAAGCACUUUAAGUUGGGAGGAAGGGCAGUAAGCGAAUACCUUGCUGUUUUGACGUUACCGACAGAAUAAGCACCGGCUAACUCUGUGCCAGCAGCCGCGGUAAUACAGAGGGUGCAAGCGUUAAUCGGAAUUACUGGGCGUAAAGCGCGCGUAGGUGGUUCGUUAAGUUGAAUGUGAAAGCCCCGGGCUCAACCUGGGAACUGCGUCCGAAACUGGCGAGCUAGAGUAGGGCAGAGGGUGGUGGAAUUUCCUGUGUAGCGGUGAAAUGCGUAGAUAUAGGAAGGAACACCAGUGGCGAAGGCGACCACCUGGGCUCAUACUGACACUGAGGUGCGAAAGCGUGGGGAGCAAACAGG
rnacentral:rRNA from 1 species